rnacentral:rRNA from 1 species
GACGAACGCUGGCGGCGUGCUUAACACAUGCAAGUCGAACGGAAAGGCCCUGCUUUUGUGGGGUGCUCGAGUGGCGAACGGGUGAUUAACACGUGAGUAACCUGCCCUUGACUUUGGUAUAACUUCAGGAAACUGGGGCUAAUACCGGAUAGGAGCUCCUGCUGCAUGGUGGGGGUUGGAAAGUUUCGGCGGUUGGGGAUGGACUCGCGGCUUAUCAGCUUGUUGGUGGGGUAGUGGCUUACCAAGGCUUUGACGGGUAGCCGGCCUGAGAGGGUGACCGGCCACAUUGGGACUGAGAUACGGCGCAGACUCCUACGGGAGGAAGAAGUGGGGAAUAUUGCACAAUGGGCGGAAGUCUGAUGCAGCAAAGCAGCGUGCGGGAUGACGGCCUUAGGGUUGUAAACCGAUUUCGCCUGUGACGAAGCGUGAGUGACGGUAAUGGGUAAAGAAGCACAGGCUAACUACGUG